UGAGACCUCUUGGUGACCGCGGUCGUGCCGUUCAUUCGUCACGGCUGAGGAACUUCCGGGCUCCAUAGAGCACGAUGGCGGAUAACGUCCGCCCAGGGAAACCUGAGAGAUAGCGCAACAGAGAAUAGACCGCCCGGCUUACCGGGUAAGGGUGAAACGGCGGUGCAAGAGACCACCGGAUCGUUGGUAACAGCGAUCGCAUGGCAAGCCUCAUCGGGAGCAAGGCCAAGCAGAAGGCAGUAGGGUUGCUCGCUCAGCCUUCGGGUAGGCUGCUAGAGCCUGGCGGUAACGUCAGGUCGAGAUGGAUGGUCACCCGCGUAGCAAUACGCGACAGAACCCGGGGUAUAAGAGGUCUCAUCAA
rnacentral:RNase_P_RNA from 1 species